AAUAUACCUUCAAUAUUUCUGGUAAAUUCUAAUAGAAAUAUUUGAUAAAUAUUUACUUGUACUGAUCUGUUUUAGAAACUAAAAUUAUUAAGUAUUUCCAACCAAUUUUCCUAAAUAAAGUUCCAGCUUAAUAAAUGACAGUUUAAAUAAAUUGAGUAAAUUUCGCGGCUAAAGUGAUCACGUGUGAAGCUCCGCAGGAAAAAAAAAAAAUCUGCUUUCCUCAGCAGCGACGUCGACUGGCCAUACACCUCACAGCUCCUGGUAAGUAAGUUUCGUAGCUUAAUCGAAGUCACCUGAAGGACGGCUUUCCUCAGCAACGGCAAGACCCGCACUCCUCUCAUUUCGUGAAGUUUAACAAGUUUCGCGGCUCAAACAAGAAGCACCUGUCACUGAAGGACUGCUUUUCUCAGCAACGACGUGAACAGCAUUACUCGAAUUUCCUGGUUCAGCUGAUCUACCCGUCUUCGUACACGCAGAGUUGGCAGAGGAGGUCAUAAAAAUCUACAUCCUUCGGGACAAUAAUGGGGCAGUCAGCGGCGUAAUCUUGGGAAUCUCAGCAGAGCCUGCUGCCAUCUUUCAGGAGUCACAUUGGAUUUGAGAUCUCCCAAGACCCACAAAUACAGGUCCUUCUCCAAAAAUUAGCAUAUUGUGAUAAAGUUCAUUAUUUUCCAUAAUGUACUGAUAAAAAUUAAACUUUCAUAUAUUUUAGAUUCAUUGCACACCAACUGAAAUAUUUCAGGUCUUUUAUUGUUUAAAUACUGAUGCUUUUGGCAUACAGCUCAUGAAAACCAUAAAUUCCUAUCUCAAAAAAAUAGCUUAUUUCAUCUGACCAAUAAAAGUGUUUUUAAUACAAAAAAGUCAAC
rnacentral:lncRNA from 1 species